rnacentral:tRNA from 2 species
GCUCGGGUGGCGGAAUUGGUAGACGCGCUAGACUAAGGAUCUAGUGGGAGUUAAUCCUGUGGGGGUUCGAGUCCCCCCUCGAGCACCA